GACUUGCUUAAAAUGAAUACUCCACAAUUUUCAACAGUAGUCGCGCAAAAGUAGAGCAAGGGUCACAUGAGCAGCUUAAAAUACUUGUGGAGUCGCUUGACGCUUCGGUGUGGUUCAAUCGACCCCCGUAAGAGUGUUACCGGCAAGAGUCGUCUGACUCCCUAUAAGUGGUACCUGAUCCUUCGGAUGAGAGGCUUUCCACUCUUCCUAGAGGGUCAGGGGACUCACCUAGAGCGAGCCGACCCUGACCCACCAAGAGAGUCACCGUGUCUAUUUAAAGGAAGUCCUAUAAAUGGAGUCUGUGGUCUGGAGAUUUCCCCAGCCGGAACGUUUAUGCCAGUUAUUGCGAGAGUUAUGCACACCACGCCAGACAAAAUUGGAGCACGUGUUCGAGGAGUGAAGCAGAAGAGGAAGGUGAUGAUGAAGAGAGCGUGUACCUGUUCGCGAUGAUGAUCAUUUUCUGUCUAUGGCACACGGCAAACCCCGAUCGUAACAUCUCUGCAGCAUGUGCGUAGCCACGCAAAAUUGUAUCGAUCGUUCUGGAAUGCCCCUACAGCGGAACAAAACGCCGUGGCCUUGAACACGACAGUAGAUCACUUUCAAAACUUAUCAUGGAACUUCACAACGCAUCAAUCAGGCUUGCGAUGUCGAAACCAGGGCCCCGCCCUGUACAUUUUGCGGAACCUUGCCCUGGUUACUGCGGCGAAAACAACCCGGGCGGCUGGUGCUCGCCGAACUGCCGUUGCCGCGUUUUGAAUAGAGUUGAUCCGCCCAUAUAUAUGUGUUUUGAGGAAGGCAAAAACCUGCCAAUGGGAUUCGAGUAGGGAUGACCCACAUUUCUAUCGGUUUAACAUAAAGAUCAACUUAAUUUAUUUAUUGCGAAGCUCCGUCUGAAUUAAAACUCUCGACUGUU